rnacentral:rRNA from 1 species
GACUAACCGAGCGAACGUUGUUCGGAAUCACUGGGCUUAAAGGGCGCGUAGGCGGGCUGCCGCGUCCGGGGUGAAAUCCUCCGGCUCAACCGGGGAACGGCCUCGGAUACGGGCGGCCUCGAGGGGGGUAGGGGCAUCUGGAACUGUGGGUGGAGCGGUGAAAUGCGUUGAUAUCCACAGGAACUCCGGUGGCGAAGGCGAGGUGCUGGACCCCAUCUGACGCUGAGGCGCGAAAGCCAGGGGAGCAAACGGG